AUUGAACGCUGGCGGCAUGCCUUACACAUGCAAGUCGAACGGCAGCACGGGUGCUUGCACCUGGUGGCGAGUGGCGAACGGGUGAGUAAUACAUCGGAACGUACCUUAUCGUGGGGGAUAACGCAGCGAAAGCUGUGCUAAUACCGCAUACGCACUGAGGGGGAAAGCGGGGGAUCGCAAAACCUCGCGCGAUUAGAGCGGCCGAUGCCUGAUUAGCCUGUUGGUGGGGUAAAAGCCCACCAAGGCGACGAUCAGUAGCUGGUCUGAGAGGACGAUCAGCCACACUGGGACUGAGACACGGCCCAGACUCCUACGGGGGGCAGCAGUGGGGAAUUUUGGACAAUGGGGGCAACCCUGAUCCAGCAAUGCCGCGUGAGUGAAGAAGGCCUUCGGGUUGUAAAGCUCUUUUGUCAGGGAAGAAACACCGGCUCUAACACAGUCUGGGAAUGACGGUACCUGAAGAAUAAGCACCGGCUAACUACGUGCCAGCCGCCGCAGUAA
rnacentral:rRNA from 1 species